rnacentral:rRNA from 1 species
GACGAACCGUGAGAACGUUGUUCGGAAUCACUGGGCUUAAAGGGCGCGUAGGCGGGCCUACAAGUCCGGGGUGAAAUCUUUCGGCUUAACCGGAAAAGUGCCUUGGAUACUGGGGGCCUUGAGGGAGGCAGGGGCGGAUGGAACUUCCGGUGGAGCGGUGAAAUGCGUUGAUAUCGGAAGGAACGCCGGUGGCGAAAGCGAUCCGCUGGACCUCUUCUGACGCUGAGGCGCGAAAGCCAGGGGAGCAAACGGG